rnacentral:rRNA from 1 species
AUGGCGGAUCCAACACGUCAGAUAACAGGGGGGCAGGGGGAAGAGGCGGAGGCGGAAGUAGGGUUAGGGCUUGAGGGGGCGGCCGGAUCUGGAGAUCAUGAUGGGGUCAGGGAAGAUGGAAGCCAAAACAACUCGAUGGCGGAUGGGGGGAGUCACAGCUCGCAGGCAAGGAGGAGUGCAUUUGGCGGAGGGGAGGAUGAGCAUGGUUCGUACUUUGGGUCGGGGCCUGAUCUUGAGGAUCAGUUCGUCGGGAUGAAGUUGCAUGGGAAGGAAGAGGAGGAUCUGGAUUUCUCAGAGGAGGUGGAAGAUUUGAUCAAAGAUGUUCGCUGGUUAGCCUUGUUCCGGGUUCAUACGACCAAGCCGUUCAGUCAUGCGGCGCUCUUGACGCAGAUGCGUAAUGCGUGGUCGGCGGCGCAGGGCGUGACUUUCAAUAUCAAGGGGCCCAAUUUGUUCCUUGUUCAGUGCCACUGCUUGGGAGAUUGGAGGAAGAUCAUGGAGGGAGGGGCGUGGCUGUUCCGUCGGGCGCCUGUGGUGAUCCAGGAGUAUGAAGGAUUUUCAUAUGUCAAGGGCUAUAAACUAAACAAGGAACACAAAAAGUUCAGCGUGUACUACGAAAAGCUUCCAGAUUUCUACUUUGCCUGUGGCCGAAUGGGUCACUUGGCUGAUGAGUGCGGCGAUGGUGUACAUGAUCCUGAGUCGUUCGAGUGGGGUGAGUGGCUGUUGUGGGAGCCGGAGAUGCCAGCGGUUCAACCAUACGGAGGGUGCAGGAAGAGGAGACAAUGGGAGAGGCCGCGGAGGCGAUGGUGGAAGAGGAGCAAGGGGACGAGGUUGUAG